GCCUUGGACAAGAUUCGCUAUGAGAGCCU
rnacentral:piRNA from 1 species